UCAAAUAUGUGGAAUCAAGGGUAGCGAGUCGUUGUCGCCAAACAACGCUAAAAGUGGCACAAACAAUAAACGCAAACGAUAAUUACGCAUUCGCAGCUUAGUAGCCGCGCAUCUUAACCGAGAAUCCUACGACUUGGAUUAAGGUGUCAACUUAGUAGGGAACCGCAUUUAGCAAAGCUUUGAGCUAAAGACGGAAAUUAUGAAGCUACUGAAACUGGAAUUUCGUCAGUAGAAGUCCAGUAGAGGGAAUGUUAAAUUACUGAAUGCACUCGGAGAAGCUCUUGUGGAAAUGUUUUCGGAUGUGGGUUCGAUUCA
rnacentral:tmRNA from 1 species